GCUUACUAUCAUGGAAUAGAAGUUCUGGCAGAGUUGGCAAAAACUGGAAGUUGUCCUCUCAUUUACAAAAAAAUUUAUAUUUUCUUCCUUUUGACAAAAACCUGAAACUUUAAGACUGAGCGUCUCCCUGCCGCGCUGAGCCUGUCCUGCCUUCCCGGGCUUCCUGCCCAUCAGCCUGCGGAGCGACCCCGGCCGGGACCGCGAAGGUGCAGCGGCUGUUGGCGGCGUCCUUCCCGCUGUGCUUGGAGGAGAGAGGGCGAGACAGCCCCUUCCUUCCCCCUUACGUUCGGUUGCUGAAUAUUAGGAAGAAUUUGCUCCAGGAAGUGACUAAUCCAAAGAAGAUGAAAGAUCUCUGGAGUGAAUGUGGUGCUGAUGCGCGCUAUGGAGCCAGCCCACAGCCGGGAGCAGUCACGCCAGCCAAGUGAAAGACCUGUGCAAAAGAAAAAUUGAUGCUUUUAUUAUAAUCCCCUGAGUUUUGGGGUACUUUGUGUCAGAUAAAUUCUAGCCGAAAUAAGCAGGUGACGAGAGGCAACAAAGGGCCAGGCAGUUUAUUUGAAUGCAAUUCCUAGGUGAUAUUCUCCUGUCUGGCUAUCACAGGCCGCGGAAGUCACACACAGCAGACCAGGCAGUGAGUUUUUAAAGAAGGUAGGGGGAGGCAGAGCUUAGAUUUACAGCAGCGCGAGGAUUGGCUAGCCUAAGGCACAUUUUUCAGGUUGGGAGGGGGCAGCAGCGGGGACUUUGGCACGUCAUCAGUGUCUGACGUGCUCACCCCUCUCCCCAGUGCCUUCAACCUUACACUUUGUUAUUCUGUAUUAUUGCACCAGUAGCUGACUG